CAGUAGCCGCGGUAAUACGAAGGGUGCAAGCGUUACUCGGAAUUACUGGGCGUAAAGCGUGCGUAGGUGGUGGUUUAAGUCCGUUGUGAAAGCCCUGGGCUCAACCUGGGAAUUGCAGUGGAUACUGGGUCACUAGAGUGUGGUAGAGGAUAGUGGAAUUUCCGGUGUAGCAGUGAAAUGCGUAGAGAUCGGAAGGAACAUCUGUGGCGAAGGCGACUAUCUGGGCCAACACUGACACUGAGGCACGAAAGCGUGGGGAGCAAACAGGAUUAGAGACCCGGGUAGUCCCUGUCUCUUAUAC
rnacentral:rRNA from 1 species